UGUGUCUCUCUCUGUCCCUGAGACCCUAACUUGUGACGUUGUGUUUUCAUGUCCACGGGUUAGGCUCUCGGGAGCUGAGAGGGAUGCCAGGCCAAC
ensembl:miRNA